rnacentral:rRNA from 2 species
AGCGGCAGACGGGUGAGUAACGCGUGGGAACGUACCAUUUGCUACGGAAUAACUCAGGGAAACUUGUGCUAAUACCGUAUGAGCCCCCCUUUAAAAUUUCAGGAAUCAUAAAAUGCCCUGGCAUUUUAUGGGGGGGAAAGAUUUAUCGGCAAAUGAUCGGCCCGCGUUGGAUUAGCUAGUUGGUGGGGUAAAGGCCUACCAAGGCGACGAUCCAUAGCUGGUCUGAGAGGAUGAUCAGCCACACUGGGAGUGAGACACGGCCCAGACUCCUACGGGAGGCAGCAGUGGGGAAUAUUGGACAAUGGGCGCAAGCCUGAUCCAGCCAUGCCGCGUGAGUGAUGAAGGCCCUAGGGUUGUAAAGCUCUUUCACCGGUGAAGAUAAUGACGGUAACCGGAGAAGAAGCCCCGGCUAACUUCGUGCCAGCAGCCGCGGUAAUACGAAGGGGGCUAGCGUUGUUCGGAUUUACUGGGCGUAAAGCGCACGUAGGCGGGCUAAUAAGUCAGGGGUGAAAUCCCGGGGCUCAACCCCGGAACUGCCUUUGAUACUGUUAGUCUUGAGUAUGGUAGAGGUGAGUGGAAUUCCGAGUGUAGAGGUGAAAUUCGUAGAUAUUCGGAGGAACACCAGUGGCGAAGGCGGCUCAC